rnacentral:rRNA from 1 species
CCUACGGGGGGCAGCAGUGAGGAAUAUUGGUCAAUGGACGAGAGUCUGAACCAGCCAAGUAGCGUGAAGGAUGACUGCCCUAUGGGUUGUAAACUUCUUUUAUAUGGGAAUAAAAUGUUCCACGUGUGGGUUUUUGUAUUUACCAUAUGAAUAAGGAUCGGCUAACUCCGUGCCAGCAGCCGCGGUAAUACGGAGGAUCCGAGCGUUAUCCGGAUUUAUUGGGUUUAACGGGAGCGUAGGUGGAUUGUUAAGUCAGUUGUGAAAGUUUGCGGCUCAACCGUAAAAUUGCAGUUGAAACGGGCAGUCUUGAGUACAGUAGAGGUGGGCGGAAUUCGUGGUGGAGCGGUGAAAUGCUUAGAGAUCACGAAGAACUCCGAUUGCGAAGGCAGCUCACUGGACUGCAACUGACACUGAGGCUCGAAAGUGUGGGUAUCAAACAGGAUUAGAUACCCCAGUAGUC